UGGGGGGCGGGGUGGGGGACAGCUUGAGAAAGAUGAAAUCGACGUUUCCUUAAUGCUGGGAGUAAUAAUGCUUAACUUUUCAUUGUUCUUUCAAGCCCUACCAGGCCCAGGAAAACACCUUCUUUCUGUUUCCUGUAGCCUUCCUGUGUAUCAUGCAUUAUAUUUGAAAGUGCCUUUCUCUACUUUCCUCAUUUUAUCUCAAAAAUCUCUGCUACAACCAGAUAACUUUCACUCUCCCGGUUCAGCAUUUGCUCUUUUCCCUCCUACAUAAGCUGAUCAGAAUUUGCAAAGAGAGGGGAAGAGGAAAGCUUCUAUUUUGUUUCAUGAUUGUUGCUAGAAAACGGCAAGACCUCGGGAGAGACACCAGGAUAUUCUUUCCCAAUGGAGGUCAGAGCUAGCAAAGUUUUUUUUGUUUUGUUUUGUUUUUUCUUUAAAUUUUAUUCCCCAGCAGGUCAAAAACUAGGAUGUUUGCAAAAAGAAUUUCUAAUUUGCUCAUAAAACUAUUGUUAUUAGCCACUCUGAGGUUGGCAUAAUUUUAAAAGUUCAAACAAGUUCCUUGUAGAAUAGGGUUCCUUUAAACAUUGACAUUUAAAGAGAAGUAAUUUUUUUCAUAAAUAAUUUAGAUUUAACUCGUUACCUCUAUAGAAUAUCUGCCUUACUUUGUUAAUGUGUCCCCUGAUGUACUCCAUAUGUCAAAUCACUUUUAAGAUAAUGUCGAUUUUCUUGUUCUCCCAGGUCAUUUUUCUGAGGGCCAAUGGUGAUAAGUGUUGGUCUGCCUAUUUUCCUGGAAUAAUCCACGAUUUGGGGAAAGAAAGAGUAUUUUGCUAAUUUCAGAAAGAAAUUUAGUAAUUACCUCAUGCUGUAUAUGUAGGAAAGAAGACAAAGAAGAAAAAUUCUUUACGAUGAGGAAACUAAAGCAAAAUUAUGAAGGAACUGAAUUCUCAGGAAUUUGCUGAAGUCUCACAGCUGAUUAAAUAUAUGAUCCCACUUCACACAGACUGAAAUCUGUGUUCUUAACCACUGUGAAAUGCAGUAUAUGCUUCUUAGUAGUUCACCAAACUUUGGUUGACCUAAAAUAUAUCGUAUUUCUUGUAAUUAAAUUGUAUAGUUUCUGGAUCCAGAACAAUAUUGGGAAUUACCCCAUGGAGAAACCUUCCUUUCUUUCUGAUUAUUCCACAGGAGGCGGAAGUAUUCACUUUUUUUUUCCCUCUGGAAAUUAUAAAUUUCCCUUUACGUGCUUAUGAAAAUCUUAUUCUUGACUGGUGGUUUGUAGAAUCAGUUUGAUAUACCUAUAUAAUAAAGACCAUUAUAUUAAUACUAUAA